AGCCCUAGGAUCACAAUCUCCUGCGCAAUACACAUAACCUUUCAAUUAUCAGAAGAUUUAUUCUAUCUAUGCUAGUCCAGCCCAUCAUGUGAGUGAAUGUUCCACAGCUGCAUAGUUUUCACCUUUCAUCCAAGAGCAAGUUCAAGCUACCCAAGGUUACUCCACUGUCAAUGACCCAUUCUUAAAUACAUAUAACCAAAAUUGGAGGAACCACCCCAAUUUUUCUUAGAGACCCCAACAGACUCAGGCCC
rnacentral:lncRNA from 1 species